UCUUCCGGCUCCCGGGACUCUCAGCAAAGGAAGUCACUUUGCGGCCUCCUUUUCCAUCAAGCAAAACCACGGGCAAGAGGCCGAGAUAUUCCUUUAAGUUAAUGUCAUGAAGAAUUCAUGAGCACAGCACGGUGGACACCGUCAUAGGAUGAACUCCCAGGAUGAGCGGCUGUGAUUGGAAGCGUGGCUGCACACAUGUUCAAAGCACAGUCGUCGGUCUUCCUGUCUGCACCGCACGCUUUAUUGACCUUCCACAGCCAGGCAGCCGUCGCUAAUUGUUUACCACCCCCUCCUGUUUCUGCACUGCUUCCGUUCACUGGAGAGACUCACCUGCUUUCGUAAUGAUUCGUCACGUUUUUUGACGGCUAGAACUUUGUCUGAAUCUUGGUGUGAAACUGGGAUGAUCAGGAUGAUUGUGUUCCAGGGGUUCAUGAGCCAGCUUUAAGUUAAUUCAUUAUUCGUCAUGGUGACAAUAUUCUCUGUAAAUAAUAAGUAAAAGAAUAUUGCAAUUUGAAAAAUGUACAAAAAUAGGAUAACAGAAGGAUCGACGUCUACUGCGAUAUCGUCUUGUGUUGCUCUUCAAUUUGUUCAAAACCUCAAAUGCCACCGUGUUCAAAUCAAUCAAUCAAUCAAGGUCAUCACUGACAUUACUAUUUUUGCAGUAUUCAGGUGCUUCUCUCAGUCUACAUUGUUAAAAUUCCAUCUUUUGCUAACAAUCUGAUUGACCAGAUUACACAAAUAAUUUUGUUUUCUUUGUAAUUC